GCAGGUAGGGGUCUCAUCCUGAACCCAAGCCUGGCACCUUUGCCUAAUGGGUGAGAACACAACUUUGAAAUCAAGCUUGGCUCAAAUCCGGUUCUGUCGUUUACCACCAUCUUUUCAACUUUGGGCAGUAUACCUGGUAUCUCCAGGCUCGUUUCUUGCUUCUGAAGCUGGGCCAAUAAUACUGAUCCACCGGGGCUGCUAUAAAUACGAGACCACUAAUAAGAAACGCUGACCACAGUGACCACACACAACGGAAACUCAAAAAACGCUGGAUGCUUCCUGCCCAUGAACAUCGGACUCCAAGUUCUUCCACUUUGGGAUUCUUGGCCUUCUACCACAGACUGAAGGCUGCACUGCUGGCUUCCCUACUUUUGAGGUUUUUGGACUCGGAUUGGCUUCGUUGCUCCUCAGCUUGAGGUCAGCCUAUUGUGGGACCUUACCUUGUGAUCGUGUGAGUCAAUACUCCUUAAUAAACUCCCCUUUAUAUAUACAUCUAUCCUAUUCUGUCUCUCUAGAGAACCCUUACUAAUACAGUCAGUUUUUACCUCAGCCCAAACCAGGAAGUGCAAGACUUGCUUUGGAAAUAAAGAGACUUUGUACUAAAGGAA